ACGCGUAUUUGUAACUAAUACAUCUCGCAAUGUUACAUAGCUUUUUAAAAUUUAUACCUAAUGUUUGACUCCGCCGUGCGAGAGUGGAAAACAACGAAAAAAAACCCACCGUGAUAAAAUAUCCAAAUACCGCGCCACUAGUUUUUUUUUUUUUUUUAAUACGCUGUAGUCCGUGCCGUUUCUCCGAUGAGAUAAUAAUUUUUGGUUCACACACAAUAUAGGAACGACGGCGGUGAAUGUAAUACAAUAAUCUACUGUGAAGAUUUACGAUGUACAAAAAGCGAAUUCCUAUCAGUGUAUUAUAAUAUAAAUGAAAUACUACGACGGCGACGAGGAACGGGUCGGUCCCGAGUCCAAGCAGCGCACUGGACGCAUGCCGGAACAAUACAACAACAAAAAGACGUUUUGUUAUUUGUCUAUGACGUCUAUUCACGUAAAGUUUAUUUCAAACUGUCUACGUGUAUUACUCGAAUAGUUGAAUAUAUCGAUUCAAGAUAGAACGUAAUGCGUACAAUAGAUCACUUCUAUGCGGCGGAUAACCUUAAAGAGAGGCCUAUAACUGAAAAAUGGGUAGCUGUAUUAUAAUAGUGUUGUGUAUCGCUUGUAGUCACAUAAUAACCAAAUAUUUAUAGUACAAUAUCAUAUUAUUAUUAUUACAACGUACGGUUUGCCUACAGACAUGCAUACUUUAGCUACA